rnacentral:rRNA from 1 species
UGGGGAAUUUUGGACAAUGGGCGAAAGCCUGAUCUAGCAAUGCCGCGUGUGUGAAGAAGGCCUUCGGGUUGUAAAGCACUUUUGUCCGGAAAGAAAUCCUCUGGGUUAAUACCUCGGGGGGAUGACGGUACCGGAAGAAUAAGCACCGGCUAACUACGUGCCAGCAGCCGCGGUAAUACGUAGGGUGCAAGCGUUAAUCGGAAUUACUGGGCGUAAAGCGUGCGCAGGCGGUUUUGUAAGACGGAUGUGAAAUCCCCGGGCUUAACCUGGGAACUGCAUUCGUGACUGCAAGGCUAGAGUAUGGCAGAGGGGGGUAGAAUUCCACGUGUAGCAGUGAAAUGCGUAGAGAUGUGGAGGAAUACCGAUGGCGAAGGCAGCCCCCUGGGCCAAUACUGACGCUCAUGCACGAAAGCGUGGGGAGCAAACA